rnacentral:rRNA from 1 species
UGGCAAGCGUUGUCCGGAUUUAUUGGGCGUAAAGCGAGCGCAGGCGGUUGCUUAGGGCUGAUGUGAAAGCCCCCGGCCUAACCGAGGAAUUGCAUCGGAAACUGUGUUUCUUGAGUGCAGAAGAGGAGAGUGGAACUCCAUGUGUAGCGGUGGAAUGCGUAGAUAUAUGGAAGAACACCAGUGGCGAAGGCGGCUCUCUGGUCUGCAACUGACGCUGAGGCUCGAAAGCAUGGGUAGCGAACA